CUCACCAGGACCCUGUGAGUUGGGUACUGUUAUUCUUUCAUCUUACUGGUGAGGUCAUGAGGAAACUGAGGCACGGAGAAGAUGAAUUACUGGCCCAUGAUCACAAAACCAAUUACUUGCUCUGAGGGAAGCCAGUUGCCAUGUCAUGAAGUGUGGUCCAUGUGGUGAGAAAAUGAGGCCUCCUAGCCAACAGCUAGCAAGGAACUGAGGCAUCCUGCUUAUAGUCAUAAAACAGUAGCUGACUGGAUAUUGGGGAGUAGAGAUGAAGGAUUAUCAAGAGGCGAACGGACUUUUCCAGUGACCAGACCUGGCUACUGGGCCAAGGAGUGAUGCUGGGGUGGAUCCAGAAG